CUUCUCCUCUGAGAGUGAGCUCCUCUCCCUCACCAUCACAGCCUCUCCUCUGCCAGCCUUCAUCAUCAGACACGUUGUAGUGCUGCUGAUCCUACUGACAGCCAUCACCACCAUAUCAUACCUGUACUGUACUAAGUGUCUCUCCAGACAACCAGGAGGAAGAGGAGAGAACAGUGUGA